rnacentral:rRNA from 1 species
UCUGCUCAAUGAUUUUUUAAAUUGCUGUGGUAUUUUGACUAUACAAAGGUAUUGAAAUAAGAUUUUAAUUGAAUGCUAAGAGAAUGGAAUUUCAGGGAAAAGCUUUAUUGAAAUUAAAAUUUGAAGUUUUUUUAAUUUGUGCAGAAACAAUUAUUAAUAUUAAGGACAAGAAGACCCUAUGAAUUUAUUAAAUUUAUAAUUAAAUUAAUAAAAUUUUGGCUGGGGCGGCAAAAAAAUAUCAAGAACUUUUUAAUAAUAAAAUGAUCCAUUAUUAAUGAUUAUAUGAAAAAUACUCUAGGGAUAACAGCGUAAUAUUUUUUG